rnacentral:rRNA from 1 species
AAUAGAUACCCGGGUAGUCCUAGCCGUAAACGAUACUCGCUAGGUGUCGGCCACGGUGCGACCGUUGUCGGUGCCGUAGGGAAGCCGUGAAGCGAGCCACCUGGGAAGUACGGCCGCAAGGCUGAAACUUAAAGGAAUUGGCGGGGGAGCACCACAACGGGUGGAGCUUGCGGUUUAAUUGGAUUCAACGCCGGAAAUCUUACCGGGACCGACAACAAUAUGAAGGCCAGGCUGAAGACUUUGCCGGAUUAGCUGAGAGGUGGUGCAUGGCCGUCGUCAGUUCGUACUGUGAAGCAUCCUGUUAAGUCAGGCAACGAGCGAGACCCACGCCCACAGUUGCCAGCGUACUCUCUGGAGUGACGGGUACACUGUGGGGACCGCCGCUGCUAAAGCGGAGGAAGGAAUGGGCAACGGUAGGUCAGUAUGCCCCGAAUAUCCCGGGCUACACGCGAGCUACAAUGGUUGGUACAAUGGGUAUCUACCCCGAAAGGGGACGGGAAUCUCCUAAAACCAAUCUUAGUUCGGAUUGAGGGCUGCAACUCGCCCUCA